ensembl:lncRNA
AUGAAGAAAAUUGCGCAACCAGAUAUAACUAACGAGAACGAAUAUAAAGAAGAAUGUAUAUUUACUUCAAUUGAUAUUUUUAGUGGACCUCAUAAUUUUUUAAAUUUAUAUUAUAUAUGUGAAAUAGUUUUUAAUGAUUUCAAUUUUGUGUCACCUUAUCAUUGUUAUUUUUUUUUACGAAAUAAAUAUGAACACAUAGAAAAGGUUAAAGAAAAUUUUAUACAAAACACAAGUUCUACUGUUUCUAAUUACGACCACAUACAUAUAAUACAAGAAAAAAAAGCUAUUAAACUAUUUCAAAAUGAAAAUGCAUUUUAUUAUGAUGACAAUGACUUAACUACUUCGAGAAGAGCAAUUUGCGAGACCCUGAUUAAUGUAAUAAACUUAUUAACUACUAAUGAUUUAAUGGCUAUUUCUCCCUAUUUUAACGAGAACCCUGUAUGGAAUACAAAUAGGCUAAGAUGGGUAGAUGCUAUGCAAAGAGACAAAUUUCGGAAGUAUGAAAAACUGCGUGAGAGCCUAAAACAAACGGGUAAACGUGAAAUAGUAUAUAAAGUUAAUGAUGAGGAUAUUGAAAAAGUAUAUAAUAAGAAUAUGAUUAAUGAUUUUUAUUUUUUUGGUGUUUAUAAUAGAAAAGGGCAAAACCAAUUAGGUCGAAUUUAUAUGAACAUACGAAAUGAUAUUUUAAAUAAUACAGAAAUAUAUUCUUGGCUAUUAUUAAAUUGUAAUAUGCAAACGGAUAAAAAUUUAGUCGCAAAUGUUUUUAUAACAGAAACAUACUUUGAAAAAAAGUGCACACAUGAGGAUGAAGAUAGUGACAGUGAUAAUAGCGCCGACCAAAUUACUAAUACUUCUAAACAUGUGACGAACGGCUCAUCAUUAUAUAACACAAAUUCACAAACAGACAAGAAUUAUAAAUUAGAAGAAAAAACGAAAAAUUAUUCCUUUGUUGCAAAAGAAUACAUAUCGUUUGGUAAAAAUGACAUGAAUGAUAUUAUUUGUUUGAACCCAUCCAUUUCUAGAUUCCAUUGUAUAUUAUAUUUUGCUAAAAAUUAUUUUCUUUAUUUGAUAGAUGUAGGAUCUAAAUCAAGAACCAAAUUAAAUGGAAACGUGUGUAAAAUAAAUGAAAAGUAUAAAAUAAUGAGUAAUGAUAUUAUUACCUUGGGUGUAUCUAAACGAACAUAUAAAAUUAACAUAAACAUUAAUAAAGUUUUAUCUUAUCUUAAAAAUAAAAAAAACGAAAUAAAUAAAAAAAUGAAUACAAUAAGCAAAGAAAUACGACACCCAUUAGAAACAAACAAAUCACUUAAACUUAAAAUUAGUAAUAUAUACUACAAGUGUAAUGAUAAUGAUGUAGUAGAUUAUUUUAAAGAUUGUGGUGAAAUUAAAAAAAUAUAUAUGUAUAACGUUCCGUCUAAAAAAAAAACAGACUCAAGUUUUAACAGUGGCGAUGAUAAUCAUACAGAGAAUAUGAACGUACGUAAUAAUACCAUCAGUUCUGAUGAUUUUAAAAAAGGUAAUUAUGUAAAAUGUGCAUUAAUAGAAGUACAUGAUGAAUUGACGUCUGAUAAUAUCAUGCGUAAAAAUAAUUGUUUUUUAUAUGGACGGAAAAUACAUAUUACGUAUCAAAAUCCGCAAGUAAAUAACCCACGAUGUUUUAAAAAAGAUUAUACGAAAGGAACACGUGGGGAUGGGUCAAAGUCAGGACCGAUCGUAGAAACAGAAGUAGGGCCAACAUCUAGACCAACAUCUAGACCAACAUCUAGACCAACAUCAAGACCAACAUCAAGACCAACAUCUAGACCAACAUCUAGACCAACAUCUAGACCAACAUCUAGACCAAUAGCAAAUAUUGAAGUUACGUGCAAAAGUAGAAAAUACUUUGGAGAAAAAAUCAUAGUAGCAGAUAGUAGUUACAAUAAUAGAACAAGUCAAACAUUACAUUAUUAUAAAGAAAAGCAUAACAAGAAGGUACAAAGAAAAAGUAUUAAAAGUGAAAACGGUAGUAAAAGGCAUUUAGAAAAACCUAAAAUGAAAAUAUAUAGAAAAAGAAAAAGGAGUUUAUUAAAAAGGGAAAUUGGAUCACGCGAAAGGUGUUGGAGCAGAGACCGGAGUAUGAGAAAAAACGUAAGUGGGGGUAGAGUUAGGGUUAGGAAAAAAAAUAUGCGAAAAAGUGGCGGUAGAAGUAGUAGUAUGAGUAGAAAUAGGAGUGACAGUAUAAAUAGUAGUAGUAGCAGAAAUAGCAGUAAAAGUGAUAGUAGACAUAGUAGCAGAAGUAAUAGCAGAAGGAAUAGCAGAAGUAGUAGUAGAAGUUAAAGCAUAAAACAAUGUGUCAAUAAAAAAAAAAAAAGUAUUGUAAAAAUUAUUACA